CUUAACAAUCAAGGCUACGGUUGAUUACUGUAUCUAAGAAGGUGAAAUCAAGAAGAACCAACCGGUUAUUUUCUUAAAAUCAUCAGUUGUCCACACGACCCUCCUACCCAAGCUGGGAGCGUCGACACGGCUGAUUAUCCUCCUAAGAAGACUACUCUCACAGAACGAGUGCAAGGAAACAGACAACCAAGAGAAAGGACAUUGUGACAUUGUGUGGACAAUCAGAGACUUACACCCGGUAACGAUGGAGACGCGGCCAUCGGAAGAAAAGGGCAUUGGCCAAACCUAUGCCAAUAAUCGGAACUCGGUCCACGAAAAGAUACCCAACGGAGACCUUCAACAAACCACAAUUCAUAACUGAGCUUGCACAAAAAUGAACUCUUCCAACCAUUCCACUGUCCUCUCUGGCUAUCUGGAGUCAGUUUACACUUUAAAAACUGCCUGCUAUGCAAUCAACCUCAUCCUGAGUCUACCCACCAAUGGCUAUGUCCUGUGGCUGAUACUGACCGGACCCGGAGGGACGAUGGCCUCAGAGUUCUUCGCUCUCAACUUGGCUGUAUCUGAGAUUCUCUACUGCCUGUGUGCUGUCUUUGUCUUUGUCUACAUACACCUCCCUAUUCCCAAUAUCCUAGCUCUACUUACAUUCUUUAGUGGUUUUAUAUACCACGGCCGCCCCCUGUUCCAGUGCUGUAUAUGUUUUGAGCGCUACCUGGCAGUUGUCCACCCUGUGGUCUUCCUGAAGUACAGACCCCUGAAAUACAAGGUGCGGUGUUCUGGAUUGGUUUGGCUGCUUUUGAUUGGGUUCUGUUUUAAUUCUUUGCUUGUAAAAGACCAAAUUGUCAUAUGUUAUGUGUCUUUCAGUGAAGUUCUGGUCUUACUUUCAUUUAUGUUAUUCUGCUGCCUCUCAGUUCUCAGGGCUUUGAAACAGCCUGGGCCAGGGGAAGGGGAGAGAGAGAGGGAGGGGACAAAUAACAUGAAGAUGAGGGCAUUUAAGAUAAUUUUGAUUAUCACGGUGUCUAUGAUGGCAAACUACCUUCCAUUGGUAGUGGUUUUACCUUUAAUUGGAGUACUAGAUUCUGGACAGUUUUUUUAUGCCAAAUAUGUGUGUUUCUACAUCAGUGUGCUCAGUGGGUUUGUGCAGCCUCUCCUCUACCUCCACAGGGCUGGGAAACUGCCCUUCAUCAAAGGUCUCUGAGGGAGAGUUUAUAUUCCCAGUUUCAUCUGAUACACAGGGCCAAAUGUAACCUGUUUACAACUGUUUUGUGAUAGCUUGCAAAGAG
rnacentral:lncRNA from 1 species